UCGAACGAGAAAGUGGAGCAAUCCAUGAGUUACAGUGGCGUACGGGUGAGUAACACGUGGGUAAUCUACCCUUUAGUGUGGAAUAACCCUGGGAAACCGGGGCUAAUACCGCAUAAGCUCGAGAGAGGAAAGCAGCAAUGCGCUGAAGGAGGAGCCCGCGGCCGAUUAGCUAGUUGGCAGGGUAAAAGCCUACCAAGGCAAAGAUCGGUAGCCGGCCUGAGAGGGCACACGGCCACACUGGCACUGAAAUACGGGCCAGACUCCUACGGGAGGCAGCAGUGGGGAAUCUUGCACAAUGGGGGAAACCCUGAUGCAGCGACGCCGCGUGAGCGAUGAAGCCCUUCGGGGUGUAAAGCUCUUUCGGCAGGGACGAUAAUGACGGUACCUGCAGAAGCAGCUGCGGCUAACUACGUGCCAGCAGCCGCGGUAAUACGUAGGCAGCGAGCGUUGUUCGGAGUUACUGGGCGUAAAGGGUGUGUAGGCGGUUGCUUAAGUUUGGUGUGAAAUCUCCCGGCUCAACCGGGAGGGUGCGCCGAAUACUGAGUGACUAGAGUGCGGGAGAGGAAAGUGGAAUUCCUGGUGUAGCGGUGAAAUGCGUAGAUAUCAGGAGGAACACCGGUGGUGUAGACGGCUUUCUGGACCGUAACUGACGCUGAAACACGAAAGCGUGGGUAGCAAACAGGAUUAGAUACCCUGGUAGUCCACGCCCUAAACGAUGCAUAUUUGGUGUGGGUCAUUCAGUUGAUCCGUGCCGGAGCUAACGCGU
rnacentral:rRNA from 1 species